CUCCUACUCCCUCCGUCUCAAAAUACUUGUCAUCAAAAUGAAUAAAAAGGAUGUAUCUAGAUGUAUUUUAGCUCUAGAUGCAUAUCUUUUUAUCCAUUUUGAUAACAAGUAUUUUCGGACGAAGCGAGUACAUG
rfam:Triticum aestivum genome assembly, contig: Triticum_aestivum_CS42_TGACv1_scaffold_577906_7BL